rnacentral:rRNA from 1 species
GUUGUAAGGUUAAGAAAUUAAGCGUACACGGUGGAUGCCUAGGCAAUCAGAGGCGAUGAAG